rnacentral:lncRNA from 1 species
GGCGAGGCUGGAAGGAGAGAGAAGACAGAGGCAGAGGGGCACUCAGAGGCCUCAGGAACACCCGGGACACCUUCCAACUCCAAGAGUAAAAAACUGCUUUCUCAAAGAGGACUAAAACUAGUGCAAGUUCAGACAGCAAGUCAACACCCUGGAGUUCACUUGAGCUGUCAGUCCCGGAACUACUAUGUCACCAGGAGGUGGCACUGUGAUCAUUCCCAUUUUCCAGAUGAGGAACCAGGAGCUCUUCAGUUCUGUCACUCGCUCACACAGGGACACUCAGCUGGGACUUGACCCAUACACACCAGAAGCUAACCAGGAGGCCACAGACCCAGUGGGGGCUAUGGACAUGUUUCAGGGACCUGAACCUCCAGGCCCUCAGGCUACUCUGCUGGCUCCCACAACUGCCACCUUGGGACCAAGGCAAAUCUGACAUUCCGACUACCCCGCCCUGCUGCACCACAAGAGGAUGUUCGAGCCUGACAUUGUAAGCCAGAACAAAAACCUGUGCCUGGGAGGUCAUAGGUCCCAUUAGGGAAGCAACUUCUGUGAUUUUCUUUUUUCCAGAUGGAUGCGAUAUGCCGCCAAACUGCCUUCUAAACAUGUGUUUAUGCCUACGUCAUCAGCUUCGUGACUGGGUAAAGCGUCUGACAACACGUGGCUGUUACUGUGGCACUACGGCCCAUCUCUUAGCCCUAAGUGGACACCUAUAGUCAACCCCUCCAAGGCUCAGAAAUCAUUGCAGAAGACAGAGGCAGGAGGAAUAUAAGAGCUGGACAACUCAAAAUCGCUCCAGGAAGUCCCUGAAACUGAGCAGAUGCACUAGGUCCCUCCCUGCCAGAGUAAACAGUGAGCUGAGAGCCCUUCUCUGAUGGAAGGAAGCUGAGCUGUGGAAACCUGCCCAGCUGCCUAGAAGAGGUUUAGAUCAACUGAAGCACCUAGAAAGGACACUCUCCAACCUACUGAGUUGUCUGCAGGCUGUGCCCCAGGUUCCCAGCAUUGUGAGCUGUUACCCAUGCUAGGGUUGGUUUUGGUGAUGCAGCUGUCUGAGUCCUUUCUGCUCCUGUGAGUAACUCACCCAUGUUACUUUACCACAAUUCCAAUAAAACUCAUUGGUUCACCA